CGUGCUGCUGUUGCUGCUUCAAUUCGGGGAUACAAGUGCCAGGGCUGUGUGUGUGGGGGGUGUUUUCCAGGACAUUCUGUACCACGGCUGGGUUCGCAGUUUCGUGGGUUCACUGUGGACAGGGGGAAUCUGAAGGCGGUUGGGACUCAGAUGAGUUGCAGAAACGAGAAGAAAGCGUUUUCAAUUUGUAUAGGAACCCCGUUUUCGAAGAAUUUGGUAGUUUCGUAGCUGUUGUUGCUUUUUAACCCACCGCGAGAAUCGUUUCACAAACCAGCCUUGGCCUUGGUUGCUACUUCCGUGUUGGAUUUGAAAUCAUCGGCUUUGGAAUUUUACCUGCAGUUAUGAUUCUUUGCCCUUCGCAGUUUUUGUUUCGCUUUUGAGUAUGUGAGCUUGGAGAACUGCACGAUUAGGUCGACAAUGGUCCGGCGAAGGUUUUCUUUUGGUUUGGUUUCGAGGCUCUCGUCGCCGAUUUAUGGCCGAAGCCCGUGCUCGGGAGGCAUUUGGACGCCAUGUUUGGGCCAGAAGAGGUCUUUCAUGACAGCGAAGGAUCUUGUGGAAAGCGAGGAGCCGGAGAAGAAAGUCACGAACAGGAUAAAUAUGUUCUCUGCUAUUAAUCAAGCUCUACAUACAGUCCUCGACUCCGAUCCCAAAUCAUACGUCUUUGGAGAAGACGUGGGGUUCGGCGGCGUGUUCCGGUGCACAACAGCAUUACGUGACAAAUUUGGAAGGCAUCGUGUCUUCAACACUCCCCUAUGUGAACAGGCCAUUGUAGGUUUUGGGAUCGGGUUGGCCUCCAUGGGUAACCGUGCCAUAGCGGAGAUUCAAUUCGCCGACUACAUCUUCCCCGCGCUGGACCAGAUCGUGAAUGAAGCCGCAAAGUACCGGUACAGGAGCGGAAACCUCUUCAAUUGUGGAGGGCUUACGGUUAGGGCGCCAUACGGAGCGGUGGGACACGGGGGACACUACCACUCGCAGUCUCCCGAAGCCUUUUUCUGCCAUGUCCCUGGCAUCAAGGUGGUUAUUCCGAGGAGCCCGUCUCAAGCGAAAGGACUCCUUCUAGCUUCGAUUCGCGAUCCUAAUCCUGUCGUCUUCUUCGAGCCUAAGUGGCUGUACAGAUUAGCGGUGGAGGAAGUUCCAGUGGAUGAUUACACGCUUCCUUUAUCAAGCGCAGAGGUCAUGAGGAAGGGAAGCGAUAUCACUCUAGUCGGAUGGGGCGCGCAGCUGGCGAUCAUGGAAGAAGCUUGCGACGAGGUUAGCAAAUUGGGCAUCUCAUGCGAGCUCAUCGACCUGAGGACGCUCAUACCAUGGGACAAGGAGCUCGUCGAAGAUUCUGUCAACAAAACAGGAAGACUGUUGGUGAGUCACGAGGCGCCAGUUACCGGAGGAUUUGGAGCUGAAAUAGCAGCAUCCAUUACCAACAGCUGCUUCUUGCGAGUACAAUCUCUCACACAACCCCAGAUUUCAACACCUGCUUUUUCUUAGAAUCCCUUCAUGGGAAAUCUAGUUGCAAGCUCCGGUGUCGCGCGUUUGUGGCCUUGAUACCCCGUUUCCGUUGGUGUUCGAGCCUUUCUACAUGCCGACCAAGAACAAGAUAGUGGAUGCCAUCAAGGCUUCUGUGAACUUCUAGCACUUGAAGAAACACCCAACUUGUUCGUGAGCUGCAAACUAGAAGCGUGGCAUGCUGGCAAUUUCUUUCCCCUUAGUCCAAGAGCAUGAGUUAUUAGGGCAAAAAACUUCCAGUGGAUAUCAGGAGACAUGAUCAGAUGCUGCCUUGUGAUUGAAUUGUCAAGUUCAGAAUGAGAUUUCUGUUAGUAUCAACUGUAUAGAAUUUCAGCAUGAAGAUUGUAUCAAUAGGAUGCUAGACCUAUGUAAAUGACAUUUGUGAGGGAUCCUCUAAGCUUUAAGCAAUGCUGCUGAGAGCAACUUCAGCUUGGCUUCGCUUACCUAUGCAGCUUCAUUCUUGUGUGCGAUUUAUAUGAAAUGUUGAAGACGAGAUCAGAGAGUCUUCUAAGCCCAUUCUUCGAA